rnacentral:lncRNA from 13 species
CCGAAGUGGGGAAUUGCUUGAGCCCAGGAGUUCCAGACCAGCCUGGACAAAAUGGCAGAAACUGCAUCUCUACAAAAAAUACAAAAGUUACCUGGGCAUGAUGUUGUGUGCCUGUAGUCCCUGCUACUCAGGAGGCUGAGGUGGGAGGAUCGAUUGAGCCCAGGAGAGGGGGUUGCAGCGAACCAGGUGCCACUGCAAUCCAGCCUGGGUGACAGAGCCAGACUCUGUCUAAAAAAAAAAAAAAAAAAGAAAGAAAGAAAAGAAAAGUAGUAUUCUGAAUACAACUUCUAAAACACUAUAUUUACUUACAUUAUAUUAAACUUGUUUUACCAUGAUCAAAAUGGUAGGUGAAAGAUGCCAGAACUUUUCUAUCAGGUAAGUAGAGUAAGCCAUGUCUUGCCCAGGGUUAGAGAGCUUGGAAAAGAUCCCUCCUAAAUAAACCUGUAGGAUCACCUUUGGCUUUCUUCCAGCUUUUUUUGGUCAUCGCUUUACCUCCGCCCAUUUCCCAUCUGUCUAGCCCAUCUUUCCCCGCUGGGCUUUUUUUUUCUUUUUCUUUUUCUUUUUUUUUUUUUUUUUGAGACGGAGUUUUGCUCUUGUUACCCAGGCUGGAGUGCAAUGGCGCGAUCUCGGCUCACCGCAACCUCCGCCUCCUGGGUUCAGGCAAUUCUCCUGCCUCAGCCUCCUGAGUAGCUGGGACUACAGGCACGCGCCACCGUGCCCAGGUAAUUUUUUGUAUUUUUAGUAGGGACGGGGUUUCUCCAUGUUGACCAGGAUGGUCUCGAUCUCUUGACCUCGUGAUCCACCCGCCUCGGCCUCCCAAAGUGCUGGGAUUUCAGGUGUGAGCCACCGCGCCCGGCCCGCGCCCGGCCUUUCACUGGGCUUUUUUGCUAGCCUCUGCCUAGCCGCGGGUAUUAGUCUGGACUGCAGUCCCGCCCAUCUCCUGGGGCGUGACCACCUGUCCAGUCCCCGCCCCCGUCCAACAGGGGAGACCCGCCUCCUUUCCCGGACACCCCCCGCUCAGCGCCCUAGCGUGCGCGCGCGUCCCCGCUUGUCGCCGGGCUCCGCGUCGAGAGCGCGCUCUGUGCGGCUGCGGCCGCCAGGUUGUUGUGGUUGUGAGAAGGCGGCGGCGGCGGCGGCGGCUGCGGAGUAGCUGCGGGAUGAGACGCCCCAGCGGCUCAGGUGCUGCUCCGCGCCGGCUCUGGCAGGGAGCCUGGUGGGGUGGCGGAGGAGGAGGCCGUGCCGUGGCGGACCUCGCCGUGUCGCGCUGCCCGACGGAGUCUUGCUCUGUCACCCAGGCUGGAGUGCAGUGUGGCAAGAUCUCGGCUCACUGCAACCUGCCUCCCUGGUUCAAGCGAUUCUUCUGCCACAGCCUCCCAAGUACCUGGGACUACAGGCAACCACAUUAUUGUUGA